GGGGCUAUAGCGCAGUUGGUAGCGCAUCUCAAUGGCAUUGAGGGGGUCAGCGGUUCGAAUCCGCUUAGCUCCA
rnacentral:tRNA from 18 species